ensembl:misc_RNA Metazoa_SRP Metazoan signal recognition particle RNA
GCUGGGUGUGGUGGUGCACACCUGUAGUCCCAGCUAUUCGGGAGGCUGAGGUGGAAGGAUCACUUGAGCCCAGGAGGUUGAGGCUGCAGUGAGCAGUGCUUGAGCCACUGCACUCCAGCCUGGAUAACAAAGCAAGACCCUACCUCUU